GCCUCAGUGGUGAAAUAGGUAGACACAAGAGACUUAAAAUCUCUCGACCGUUAGGUUGUACCAGUUCGAGUCUGGUCUGAGGCA
rfam:Corchorus olitorius cultivar O-4 contig09476, whole genome shotgun sequence.